rnacentral:rRNA from 1 species
UACGGGGGGUGCGAGCGUUGUCCGGAAUCACUGGGCGUAAAGGGCGCGUAGGUGGCGUGAUAAGGGUGUGGUGAAAGCCCGGGGCUCAACCCCGGGUCUGCCAUGCCGACUGUCAGGCUAGAGUACUGUAGGGGCAGGCGGAAUUCCGGGUGUAGCGGUGGAAUGCGUAGAGAUCCGGAGGAACACCUAUUGCGAAGGCAGCUCGCUGGGACGUGACUGACGCUGAGACGCGAAAGCGUGGGGAGCAAACAGG